UACGUAGGUGGCAAGCGUUGUCCGGAUUUAUUGGGUUUAAAGGGUGCGUAGGCGGUCUAUUAAGUCAGUGCUGAAAUACUCCAGCUUAACUGGAGGGGUGGCAUUGAUACUGAUGGACUUGAGUACAGAUGAGGUAGGCGGAAUUGACGGUGUAGCGGUGAAAUGCAUAGAUAUCGUCAAGAACACCGAUAGCGAAGGCAGCUUACUGGGCUGUAACUGACGCUGAUGCACGAAAGUGUGGGGAUCAAACAGGA
rnacentral:rRNA from 1 species